GUAACUUCCAGUUUGCUUCAGGGUUAUAACGAAGUAUAAUAACAGCGCUAAAAUCGGAUUAAUUACCACCCCAGAUAUGAUUCAAGUAUGCUGAUGGUAUGUUUUGAGAACAUUACUUCCAUCAAGAUCAUCACUAGAAUUGGUUUGGCUGCUAGUACACCCAGGACAGUAAGUGGACAGUGAUGGACAACUAGUGCUGGUCGACAGACCACCGUUUGCUGGACAGCUUUCGUUUAUUGGACCGCAAUUUUGGUUGGACCAUGAGUGUUGGUUAAACACCUAUUAAUACUUGGACUCCAUGCUUGUUUUUCCGCGGGAAAUUAUCUGGAAAUCGACGAGACGUUCCGAAUAAUCGCUGUCACUAAAAACCGACAAGAACCAACAACAACAGAAAAGAACCCUCAACCUGAA